rnacentral:rRNA from 1 species
UACGGAGGGUGCAAGCGUUAUCCGGAUUCACUGGGUUUAAAGGGUGCGUAGGCGGGUUGGUAAGUCAGUGGUGAAAUCUUCAAGCUUAACUUGGAAACUGCCAUUGAUACUAUCUGUCUUGAAUAUCGUGGAGGUGAGCGGAAUAUGUCAUGUAGCGGUGAAAUGCUUAGAUAUGACAUAGAACACCAAUUGCGAAGGCAGCUCACUACGCGAAUAUUGACACUGAGGCACGAAAGCGUGGGGAUCAAACAGG